AGAGUUGGAUCCUGGCUCAGGAUGAACGCUGGCGGCGUGCCUAACACAUGCAAGUCGAGCGAAGCGAUUUAGCGGAAGUUUUCGGAUGGAAGUUAAAUUGACUGAGCGGCGGACGGGUGAGUAACGCGUGGGUAACCUGCCUCAUACAGGGGGAUAACAGUUAGAAAUGACUGCUAAUACCGCAUAAGCGCACAGCAUCGCAUGAUGCAGUGUGAAAAACUCCGGUGGUAUGAGAUGGACCCGCGUCUGAUUAGCUAGUUGGUGAGGUAACGGCUCACCAAGGCGACGAUCAGUAGCCGACCUGAGAGGGUGAUCGGCCACAUUGGGACUGAGACACGGCCCAAACUCCUACGGGAGGCAGCAGUGGGGAAUAUUGCACAAUGGGGGAAACCCUGAUGCAGCAACGCCGCGUGAGUGAAGAAGUAUUUCGGUAUGUAAAGCUCUAUCAGCAGGGAAGAAAAUGACGGUACCUGACUAAGAAGCCCCGGCUAACUACGUGCCAGCAGCCGCGGUAAUACGUAGGGGGCAAGCGUUAUCCGGAUUUACUGGGUGUAAAGGGAGCGUAGACGGCGAAGCAAGUCUGAAGUGAAAGCCCGGGGCUUAACCCCGGGACUGCUUUGGAAACUGUUUUGCUAGAGUGCUGGAGAGGUAAGUGGAAUUCCUAGUGUAGCGGUGAAAUGCGUAGAUAUUAGGAGGAACACCAGUGGCGAAGGCGGCUUACUGGACAGUAACUGACGUUGAGGCUCGAAAGCGUGGGGAGCAACACAGAAUUAGAUACCCUGGUAGUCCACGCGGUAAACGAUGA
rnacentral:rRNA from 1 species